rnacentral:rRNA from 1 species
AACGAACGCUGGCGGCAUGCCUAACACAUGCAAGUCGAACGAGACCUUCGUGCCUAGUGGCGCUCGGGUGUGUAACGCGUGGGAAGCUGCCCUUAGGUACGGAAUAAUUCCCUGCCAGGGGUGCUAAUAUCGGAAAAGGUCUCCGGACCAAAGAUGUAUCGGCUUUGGUUGGGCCCGCGUUGGUUUAGCUAGUUGGUAAGGUAAACGCCAACCAAGGCGACUAUCCAUAGCUGGUUUGGGAGGAUGGUCAGGCACACUGGGAGUGAGACCCGGCACGGACUCCUGCGGAAGGCAGCAAUGGGGAAUAUUGGACGAUGGGCGAGAGCAUGAUCCAUCCAUGCCGCGUAAGUGAUGAAGGCCUUAGGGUUGUGAAGCUCUUUUACACGUGCUGAUAAUGACGGUACCUGAAGAAUAAGCUCCGGCUAACUCCGUG